UACGGAGGUGGCAAGCGUUGUCCGGAUUUAUUGGUUUGAAAGGGUGCGUAGGCGGCUUUGUAAGUCAGUGGUGAAAAUACGGUAAGCUUAACUAUCGAGGUGCCAUUGAUACUGCAGAGCUUGAGUACAGAUGAGGUAGGCGGAAUUGACGGUGUAGCGGUGAAAUGACUUAGAUAUCGUCAAGAACACCUAUAGCGAAGGCAGCUUACUAGGCUGUAACUGACGCUGAGGCACGGAAAGUGUGGGGAUCAAACAGG
rnacentral:rRNA from 1 species